rnacentral:rRNA from 1 species
UACAUAGGGGGCAAGCGUUGUCCGGAAUGACUGGGCGUAAAGGGAGUGUAGGCGGUUGUGCAAGUUAUAUGUGAAAGCCCGAGGCUUAACCUCGGAACUGCAUAUAAGACUGCAUGACUAGAGUGUGGGAGAGGAAAGCGGAAUUCCUAGUGUAGCGGUGGAAUGCGUAGAUAUUAGGAGGAACACCAGCGGCGAAGGCGGCUUUCUGGACCAUAACUGACGCUGAGGCUCGAAAGCGUGGGGAGCAAAC